rnacentral:tRNA from 1 species
GAUGAGAUGGCUGAAAAUUUAGGUUGUAAAUUGUAAAUUUAUAUAUGAGUAAUAACUCUCUUAUCA